GUAAGGAAUAUUGGUCAAUGGACGAAAGUCUGAACCAGCCAUGCCGCGUGGAGGAUGAAGGUCCUCUGGAUUGUAAACUUCUUUUAUAUGGGACGAAAAAAGGCUUUUCUAAGUCGUCUGACGGUACCAUAUGAAUAAGCACCGGCUAACUCCGUGCCAGCAGCCGCGGUAAUACGGAGGGUGCAAGCGUUAUCCGGAUUCACUGGGUUUAAAGGGUGCGUAGGUGGAUUGCCAAGUCCGUGGUGAAAUCUUCGAGCUUAACUCGGAAACUGCCAUGGAUACUGGUGAUCUUGAAUAUCGUGGAGGUUAGCGGAAUAUGUCAUGUAGCGGUGAAAUGCUUAGAUAUGACAUAGAACACCAAUUGCGAAGGCAGCUGGCUACGCGAAUAUUGACACUCAGGCACGAAAGCGCGGGGAUCAAACAGGAUUAGAUACCCUUGUAGUCC
rnacentral:rRNA from 1 species